UUUUUUUUUCCUUUUUGGUAAAUGCGACCAAUCAGAGGAUAUCACGUCACAUGAUACUGGUAUCAAAAACAUCAUUGAGCUGAUCAAGUUCAUUUUAAUUAUUUUAUU
rnacentral:sRNA from 1 species